rnacentral:rRNA from 1 species
GGGUUGUGAGGUUAAGCGACUAAGCGUACACGGUGGAUGCCCUGGCAGUCAGAGGCGAUGAAGGACGUGCUAAUCUGCGAUAAGCGUCGGUAAGGUGAUAUGAACCGUUAUAACCGGCGAUUUCCGAAUGGGGAAACCCAGUGUGAUUCGUCACACUAUCAUUACGUGAAUACAUAGCGUAAUGAAGCGAACCGGGGGAACUGAAACAUCUAAGUACCCCGAGGAAAAGAAAUCAACCGAGAUUCCCCCAGUAGCGGCGAGCGAACGGGGAGGAGCCCAGAGCCUGAAUCAGCAUGUGUGUUAGUGGAAGCGUCUGGAAAGUCGCGCGAUACAGGGUGACAGCCCCGUACACAAAAGCGCAUGUGCUGUGAGCUCGAUGAGUAGGGCGGGACACGUGGUAUCCUGUCUGAAUAUGGGGGGACCAUCCUCCAAGGCUAAAUACUCCUGACUGACCGAUAGUGAACCAG